GGAGGAAAGCAGGGGAUCGUAAGACCUCGCGUUAAUGGAGCGGCCGAUGCCGGAUUAGCUAGUUGGUGAGGUAAAGGCUCACCAAGGCGACGAUCCGUAGCUGGUCUGAGAGGACGACCAGCCACACUGGAACUGAGACACGGUCCAGACUCCUACGGGAGGCAGCAGUGGGGAAUUUUGGACAAUGGGCGAAAGCCUGAUCCAGCCAUUCCGCGUGAGUGAAGAAGGCCUUCGGGUUGUAAAGCUCUUUCGCAAGGAAAGAAAACUUAUCUCCUAAUACGAGGUGAGGUUGACGGUACCUUGAUAAGAAGCACCGGCUAACUACGUGCCAGCAGCCGCGGUAAUACGUAGGGUGCGAGCGUUAAUCGGAAUUACUGGGCGUAAAGCGUGCGCAGGCGGUUUUGUAAGUCAGAUGUGAAAUCCCCGGGCUCAACCUGGGAACUGCGUUUGAAACUACAAAGCUAG
rnacentral:rRNA from 1 species